CUCAGUCAACAUCGACUCUGUCUUCUUUCUCCCAGUUAUUAGGAAUUGUUCUUGCUUCUCUGCCCUUUCCCUGGUCCAAGAAAAUCAUGGAAUACUUAGACGGGCUUCUGGGGAUCUUGUGUGCCACUCUCUAAAACAGCCCGUCCACCCCCGAGCUCCUGAGGAAGGCAUCUCACCGUGGAACUCAUGGCAGCAGAUGCAGGCAGGCUGUUUCACCUUGGGAACACAGAAUCUCCUUAAAGAAAUGGAGCCCACGCUGAACCUCCCUUGGUGACGUGGCCAUGGCUUCUAAUGAGAGCAGUUCUAACACCAAUGCAUUUAUUAUCCUCAGACUCUAAGUAAAAGAGGAACUCCCACAGCAUGCUCGGGAGCCAGCCCUCACUGGCUCACAAGAAUGAACUGUCCAACUUUCCAGAACCUUGUGAGCUGCUCGUUAAAGUCAUACAACAUUCGGAAUUCACUUAUAUAAACUGACAACGUCACAUUAAAGACAAAGAUAAUAAAUAUUGAAAACUCAUCA
rnacentral:lncRNA from 12 species